rnacentral:rRNA from 2 species
CGGAAGGAUCAUUAAUUA